CUCAGCGACCGCUAUUUUUGAGCACUGAUAGCACUUAAAGCGACGCUUUCUAAGGAGGAUUCUAGUAGGCAUA
rnacentral:tRNA from 1 species